CCUCUGUGCUGGAGGUGGGCGCAUGCGCACAAGUUCACAGCUUUUCAAUGCUUCUCAGUCAGCUACAGUACAACAUAAAUAAUGAGAUUAUCAACACGAAGAUUCUGAAAGAUUGAAAAGCAAGCACACUGAAUAUUGUACAUCUUGUAAAGGUAAAAUUCACAACACUGUGAUAGAGGACAUGUAAAUACUUUGAGCUCUACAUCAAUAACAUUAUACACAUGUACAUACGUGUGUCACUAUAUAAAAAACAAUAUAAAGAAAACUGAUACUAUAAGAAAAAAAAAAUCUUUACACAUAUUAUAGGAUCAGUGAAUAAUCUUAGAGGCAGUAGAAUUUGCCAUGCUGAGAAAGCAGCAGUUGUAGUUACAUGGAGGCUCACGGCCAG